rnacentral:rRNA from 1 species
GAUGAACGCUGGCGGCGUGCCUAAUACAUGCAAGUCGAGCGAACAGACGAGGAGCUUGCUCCUCUGACGUUAGCGGCGGACGGGUGAGUAACACGUGGAUAACCUACCUAUAAGAAUGGGAUAACUUCGGGAAACCGGAGCUAAUACCGGAUAAUAUAUUCAACCGCAUGGUUCAAUAGUGAAAGACGGUUUUGCUGACAAUUAUAGAUGGAUCCGCGCCGCAUUAGCCAGUUGGUAAGGUAACGGCUUACCAAGGCAACGAUGCGUAGCCGACCUGAGAGGGUGAUCGGCCACACUGGAACUGAGACACGGUCCAGACUCCUACGGGAGGCAGCAGUAGGGAAUCUUCCGCAAUGGGCGAAAGCUUGACGGAGCAACGCCGCGUGAGUGAUGAAGGUCUUCGGAUCGGAAAGCUCUGUUAUUAGGGAAGAACAAAUGUGUAAGUAACUAUGCACGUCUUGACGGUACCUUAUCAGAAAGCCACGGCUAACUACGUG